rnacentral:rRNA from 1 species
CCUACGGGAGGCAGCAGUGGGGAAUAUUGGACAAUGGGCGCAAGCCUGAUCCAGCCAUACCGCGUGGGUGAAGAAGGCCUUCGGGUUGUAAAGCCCUUUUGUUGGGAAAGAAAACUUGCAGGUUAAUACCCAGCAAGUCUGACGGUACCCAAAGAAUAAGCACCGGCUAACUUCGUGCCAGCAGCCGCGGUAAUACGAAGGGUGCAAGCGUUACUCGGAAUUACUGGGCGUAAAGCGUGCGUAGGUGGUUGUUUAAGUCUGUUGUGAAAGCCCUGGGCUCAACCUGGGAAUUGCAGUGGAUACUGGGCGACUAGAGUGUGGUAGAGGGUAGUGGAAUUCCCGGUGUAGCAGUGAAAUGCGUAGAGAUCGGGAGGAACAUCCAUGGCGAAGGCAGCUACCUGGACCAACACUGACACUGAGGCACGAAAGCGUGGGGAGCAAACAGGAUUAGAUACCCUGGUAGUCCACGCCCUAAACGAUGCGAACUGGAUGUUGGGUGCAAUUUGGCACGCAGUAUCGAAGCUAACGCGUUAAGUUCGCCGCCUGGGGAGUACGGUCGCAAGACUGAAACUCAAAGGAAUUGACGGGGGCCCGCACAAGCGGUGGAGUAUGUGGUUUAAUUCGAUGCAACGCGAAGAACCUUAC